UCCUAUCAGACUCCCUGCUGAGCACGAGACUACACACAGGGCUCUAUCUCAGGACCCUGAGAUCAUGACCUGACCCAAAAUCAAGAUGCUCAACAGACUGAGCCACCCAGGCAGCCCUACUACUAUGGACUACUACUAUGAUAAUACUCAGUUGCCCUCCCUUCUCCCCAAAAUGCCACCUGACACCUCACCGCAGUCAGCCCCCAUGUGCCUAGGUUCCCAGCCAUUAAUUAUUAUCCUUAAGCCUGGAAGUUUGAGGUUUCUUCUCAGCAAACAUUAACUGGGAGCUUAACCUUGAGUGUGAAGGUCAAGGUGUGAGGUGGCCCCAAGCUAUAUGCUAAUCCUCUCAACAAUCCUCUGUGGGUGGCUACAGUCUCCUUUACAGACAAGAACCUGAUGAUGUAGAAAUUGGUGGGGUUCAGAGUGGAUGGCCAAGAAAUUCUUGAGGCAUGUUUGGUGCAAAAAGGUGGUUUUAUUAAAGCCCAGGGACAGGACCUGUGGGCAGAAAGAGCUGCUUUGGGGUGAUGAGGAGUGGACAAUUAUAUACUUUUAAGUUGGGAGGGGGUUAGGGAGAGCAUAAGUGUAAAACUUAGAAGCAAGUUUUCCAGGACUUGGAGGGGGCUAGCUCUUGUUAGGAAAAGGUCAUUUAUUACUGUCUAGUAAAACCCUAGUCAUGAGACCCUUCAGGGGUGUAUCAGUGGGCCAUAUGCUUGGGGGAUGACUGCUAACAUGUAACUUGGGGGGUAGAGAUAAAGGAGAUUUUCAAAAUAAUUUUUAUAUGUUAAAGAAGACCUUAAAGGAUCCUAGGGGGUCAGGCCUUUUGCCCUUUGCAAACCUAUUAACGUUGGUGCAGCUGAGCUCCCAGCGAAAGGACGCUCGCCUGUUUCAAGGACUUGCCAAUGGGCUGUAAGUAGUAAGGAAAUUCAAUUAUUUUUUUCUUUUGCUCUUGUUUUCCCACAUCACCUGAGACCCCACAAGGUCAAGCGUGGACUGGUGACACAACUCCGCUGGAAGCUGAGCUGGUUUUCCUCGGAUCCCAAGUCAGGGGCCGACCCUGCCCGAUGGGGUCCCCUGCUGGCCCAGAUGCAUAGGGCCUCCAAAGCACCCUGGAGUUGGGGGAAGUGCUGCAGAAUGGGAGCAGCCUGUGGUUCAAAGUCAAAAGCCCCUCCUGUUCCUCCCACCGGGACAGGGACCAGCACCUUUGCCUCUCACCAGAAGCCUCCCAAGGACCCACGGGGGCAGAGGUCAGGAGGCCUGCUGACCUUGGACACCAGGCUGAGAGGGUGGCAGCGAGCCACCACCAAGCACAUCGCGAGAGCUGCAGCAAACACUCAGGGCGCUCCUGCAGUUCUAACAGGUACCUCCUCUCCCAAGCCUCUGUUGUUUACCUGUAAAAUGGGGACAUCAUAACUGACCUGCCCACCGCACAGGGGUUGUGUCCUCUGGCCCCUGUGUGUCUGUUCACCCGCCCUGCACUGAGCAGCCUGAGGACAGGCACCUGACCCUCUCUUGAUCCCCACACUUGUCCCAAACAGGGCCUACCUUGGGUGUGUGAACCCAGAGGGGCUGCAGCCCAGUUGGACAUCCCCAGGGGCGUAGGGAUGCAGAAGGCAAGGUUCUGGGCAGCUCCUGCUGGGUCCACCCCAAAUCCUGCUGCACCCUCCUCCUCACAGUUUUCAGUUCUGGGUCUCCUUUCCAAUUUAAUGGUGCAAAAAAAAAAAAAAAAAAA